rnacentral:lncRNA from 1 species
AGGGUUGGGGUUUAUUAGGAGACUGGGGUGUGGCUCUGCCCAUGGGGACUCUGCUUUAACAGCUCUGUACUCCUCACUGUGAAAGUCCUCACUGUGGCUUGGGUGCAGUUUGUAAGGUCCAUGUGCUGUAAAACUGGUCCUCGCUGUGGUGAUGUGAGAGGUGUGGAGACCCUUAAGAGGUGGAGCCUUAUUCAAGGUUGGGGGAGGAAUGAAUGAAUGAAUGAGGAGGAAUGAUGAUGCAGUUCUCAGUGGUCCAGGUUGUUCUCACACCAUUGAGGCUGUCACAAAAGAGCAAGGCUGGCCCCACCCACCUCUGGCUUCUGGCCUCGAUAUUCGUCUCUCUAAGACACUUUCUUACCAUGGUACCAGCCACUGUGACAUCUCCCAGACCAGGACCUUCACCAGUGCCCAUGAAAGGCUGUGUAACUUCCAGCCUCCAAAACUGUACUUCCAGGAAAGGCACCAGAAGAUUUAAGGUAAAUGGAUGUCCCCUACCAUCAGGGGACUGCAACCACUGGUUCCGGAGAGAUGUAACUGAAGGACUCAUCUGUCUACCUGGCAGGAUGCGAAUGACGUCACAAGAGGAAGCUUUGCUGGGACCUCCAAGGCUACGACAGAAUUCACCAGGCAGAGAGGAAACAGCAAUAAUGAGCUUGUGUGCAAACACAAAUCAAAGCAUCCAGAGCGUUUCCAAGAAUGGAGAGAGCCAAAAUGGGACCCCACACAGCUUCAGAAAAGUGGGCAGAAAAACG